GCCCUUAUAGUUUAGUGGCUAUAACGUCUCACUCGUACGUGGGGAUGAGAAGGUCCUGCGUUCGACUCGCAGUGGGGGCA